UCGGCCGCGCUUCAAAAAAAAUAACCCUGGCCGAUCCAACACCGGGGUGUAUCAGGUUUUUUUUAAGUAAAACUCCUUUUCGCGUUGGCGGCCUUCGGCCGCGCUUCAAAAAAAUAACCCUGGCCGAUCCAACACCGGGGUGUAUCAGGUUUUUUUUAAGUAAAACUCCUUUUCGCGUUGGCGGCCUUCGGCCGCGCUUCAAAAAAAUAACCCUGGCCGAUCCAACACCGGGAUGUAUCAGGUUUUUUUUAAGUAAAACUCCUUUACGCGUUGGCGGCCUUCGGCCGCGCUUCAAAAAAAUAACCCUGGCCGAUCCAACAUCGGGGUGUAUCAAGUUUUUUUUAAGUAAAACUCCUUUUCGCGUUGGCGGCCUUCGGCCGCGCUUCAAAAAAAUAACCCUGGCCGAUCCAACACCGGGGUGUAUCAAAUUUUUUUUAAGUAAAACUCCUUUUCGCGUUGGCGGCCUUCGGCCGCGCUUCAAAAAAAUAACCCUGGCCGAUCCAACACCGGGGUGUAUCAAGUUUUUUU